rnacentral:rRNA from 1 species
GCAUAUCAAUAAGCGGAGGAAAAGAAACCAACAGGGAUUGCCUUAGUAACGGCGAGUGAAGCGGCAACAGCUCAAAUUUGAAAUCUGGUUCCUUUAGGGGCCCGAGUUGUAAUUUGUAGAGGAUGUUUCGGGUACGGUCCGGGCUUAAAUUUCUUGGAACAGAAUGUCAGAGAGGGUGAGAAUCCCGUCUGGAGUCUGCGACACGGCCUAUGUGAAACUCCUUCGACGAGUCGAGUUGUUUGGGAAUGCAGCUCUAAAUGGGUGGUAAAUUUCAUCUAAAGCUAAAUAUUGGCCAGAGACCGAUAGCGCACAAGUAGAGUGAUCGAAAGAUGAAAAGCACUUUGAAAAGAGAGUUAAACAGUAUGUGAAAUUGUUGAAAGGGAAGCGCUGGCAACCAGACUUGACCGUCGCGGCUCCCCCUCGCUUCUGCUUGGGUUACUCCGCGGCGAGCAGGCCAACAUCGGUUUCGGGGGUUGGUUAAAGGCUCGGGGAAUGUACCUACUCUUCGGGGUAGACUUAUAGCCCCGGGUGUCAUGCAACCUCCCGGGACCGAGGAACGCGCUUCGGCUCGGAUGUUGGCGUAAUGGUUGUCAGCGACCCGUCUUGAAACACGGACCAAGGAGUCUAACAUCUAUGCGA